AGUGAACGCUGGCGGUAGGCCUAACACAUGCAAGUCGAACGACAGCACAGUAAGAGCUUGCUCUUACGGGUGGCGAGUGGCGGACGGGUGAGGAAUACAUCGGAAUCUACUUUUUCGUGGGGGAUAACGUAGGGAAACUUACGCUAAUACCGCAUACGACCUACGGGUGAAAGCAGUGGAUCUUCGGACCUUGCGCGAUUGAAUGAGCCGAUGUCGGAUUAGCUAGUUGGCGGGGUAAAGGCCCACCAAGGCGACGAUCCGUAGCUGGUCUGAGAGGAUGAUCAGCCACACUGGAACUGAGACACGGUCCAGACUCCUACGGGAGGCAGCAGUGGGGAAUAUUGGACAAUGGGCGCAAGCCUGAUCCAGCCAUACCGCGUGGGUGAAGAAGGCCUUCGGGUUGUAAAGCCCUUUUGUUGGGAAAGAAAAGCAGCAGGUUAAUACCCCGCUGUUCUGACGGUACCCAAAGAAUAAGCACCGGCUAACUUCGUG
rnacentral:rRNA from 1 species